GGUUGCUUCAUGGUCAUUUAAUGCAUGGGGAUUGGACGUCGUCAGACCAAUCACACUAAAAUCAACUACAAGAGAAGCCUACAUCCUAACCACAACAGGUUACUUUUCCAAGUGGACUGAAGUCAUACCCCUAAGGGAAGUCAAGAAAGAAAUGUUGGAAAUGUUCCCUAAAGCCAGUCAUAUGAUAAUACUUUAUGGACAUUUCACAUAUUAAACUAAUCUAGUUUAUAAAUGUUAUACACUUAAAUGAUAAGUCCAAGGAAUAUGUAAUUGGGAGAAUGUGACCUAAAAAAGUUAGAUUCAUGAGACCAUUCUCUUUCAUAUACAUAUCUUAAACAUUCCUGAUCAUAGGAUUGCCAAUUGGGCAUUGAUAGUCCGUUAAGAUCAGUACGUGCUAUGUUUUCUCUUAAAGAGAAUGACUAGUCUCGAGUCAUUGCUGUGACUGACAUCAAGACAAGCAUAUAGGUGCUCAAUAGAGAAUAAGUCCACUGAACGCGAUCAACAAGGAGUUCUCAUACUCAUGUCACAAGAGAACUCAUGGUUAGGAUAAUGCAAAGUAUUCCUUUGACCUGAGGCAUCAUAGUUGUCUUAUGGUUAAGUCCUUGAUCUUUGACUAUGUCAAAGUCACUCCAUCAGAGGGUGUCCAUGACAUAGUUAGGGUUAAGUUAGCCAUGGAAGCAAGUGAAUGCACAACAAGGGAUCUCUAACCUUCAAACCGUUUGAGGGAGAAUUCUCUAUGAUAUGAUUAAGAAUAUAUGGCCAGAGUAUGAAUGAGAUUUAGGAAGUCAUUCCAAAUCAUGUUCAAGGUAAUCAUAUAAGUAAGAGAAUCACAGUGGAUAGUAGACAUGAAUAAACUAUCGAACCAAACGAUGUGGUCAAGAGUAUUGUAUUAGAGAAAGAUCGUAUUGCAUUGUAAUCCUAAAUUGAAUAGGUUCUCCAACUUUUCUGAUUAGCUUGGGUAGCCAUGACAUACUACUAGGUGUCACUCAUGGUUUAUGGAAACCUUAAUGUGUAUAAUCACUAAAGGGAGAAUUGAAAGUAAGUUUCAAUUCACAAUCAAUUUGAAGAGUUCUAAUCGUUGACUGCCUCGCUAAAAUGAACCUAAUGGAUCAUACACCAUGUAAGGUAGAGACUGAAGAAAGAACGGAGAUGAAUAAAGAUAAUUAAAUGGUUUAAUAAUUUAUGGCUAGGAUUAAUUAAUAUGGUAAAUCAAACGAAUAAGUUCGUUUUAGCUUUUAAGUAUUUAGUGGACCUCAAGGCCCAUUGGGCUAAGAACCAUCAAGCCCAUUAAUUUAA
rnacentral:lncRNA from 1 species